rnacentral:rRNA from 1 species
CAGCCGUAAACUAUGCGCGUUAGGUGUAUCGGUGACCACGAGUUACCGAGGUGCCGAAGGGAAACCGUGAAACGUGCCGCCUGGGAAGUACGGUCGCAAGGCUGAAACUUAAAGGAAUUGGCGGGGGGAGGCACCACAACAGGUGGAGCCUGCGGUUUAAUUGGACUCAACGCCGGGAAGCUCACCGGAUAGGACAGCAGAAUGAUUGCCGGGCUGAAGACCCUGCAUGACUAGCUGAGAGGAGGUGGCAUGGCGUCAGUGACU